GACGAACGCUGGCGGCGUGCUUAACACAUGCAAGUCGAACGGAAAGGCCGUGCUUUCGGGGUACUCGAGUGGCGAACGGGUGAGUAACACGUGGGUGAUCUGCCCUCCACUUCGGGAUAAGCCUGUGCAACUGGCUCUAAUACCGGCUAGGAGCCAUUUUUAGUGUGAUGGUUGGAAAGUUAUUUCGGUGUAGGGUGAGCUUGCAGGCUAUCUGCUUGUUGGUGUGGCGAUGGCCUACCGAGGCGGCGACGGGUAGCCGGCCUGAGGGGGUGGACGGCCACACUGACACCGAGGGGCGGCACAAGUAGGUAAUGGUGGGCGAUGGGGGGAAGAUUGACGAAGGGGCGCAGGCUGGGUGAAGAGGCGCCGCGUGGGGGAUGACUGCCUUAGGGUUGUAAACUACUUGCGCUAGGAACGAAGCUUUUUGUGACGGUACCUAGAUAAGAAGCACCGGCUAACUACGUG
rnacentral:rRNA from 1 species